UUAUCUGAUGUGAUAAAUAGUCCUGUGAAAAUUACUUUUCAACAGAUUAUCAUAGAACUAAUGCAAUUUCUCCUUAUCUUCAGUCUUUCUGCAGUGGGGAGAACCUGAAUCAGAUUUGUGUCAGGUUCAUAAAUGAGGUUAAAGGAACGGUGACACACUGAAGCAGGGAAUAGGAUGGAUGUCUGGGAUUAGUGUGUGUAAUUUACUUUGCUCUGGAAGUAAUAAAAAGAAGACUGACAUUUAUGUAUUAUUAUUAUUAUGUAUUAUUGUUAUUAUGUAGAAAUUAUGUAGAUAAAACCUGCGUCCUUGUGAACAGUAGUAUUACUAAAUUCAUAUGGCUUUUGUAUGGUAAAAGGCUCCCCUUAAUAUGUUGGCUUAGUGUCAACAGUGCAGUAGGUAAACCCUUAUGUCUGUGAUUUGGGCUUUGUAUGAGGAUGUAACAGUGCCACACUGCAGAAACUACCACAUAUUUUUGUUGCAGUGUAUUCCUGAGAGGUCUUUAUUUAUGUGAGUGUACAGAGGCUGUGUGUGAUGAAGGGGCAGGUGAUAUGGAAGUACGUGUGAAGAAUCUGAAACACAUGAGGUGUCUUCAAGAAAACCUUUUCAAGAUUGGCUGCUGUUGGUUGGUAGUAUUGCCUUGAAAAAUCUAGCUCUUCCUGUUUCGCUGUGUGUCUGCUGCCUGGUGAAGAUUCUCUUCUAGCUGUAGCUGUGAUUUACAGUAAAGCCAAAGCUGAGGACUUCAACUACUGAUGCGUAACAUUUACAAUGCUCAGUUUUGGUUCUAGUUGUACUCUGCAGUCCCACAAGCCCCAUACUUUUGUCGUAAGGGUUGUGGCUUUAGUUUAAAACAAAACCGAAAUAAAUGCUUUCUGUUCUAACUCAAUUGCAAGGAAUUGCAAGUUACUCAGGAAUCUAAUACACUUCUAGAAGUAUUUGUUAAUUGUUUCUAUGGUCAUGUCCUUAUUAACUAUUUAUGGUUAUGUUUUGUAACUAAUAGUCUUUUUUCAUCCUCUUUCCAUAUCAACCCUCUUCAAUCUAGGUUUCUUGUAAUUUUGACAGAGAGGUGUUUAUUUGGGUGAUAUGUCUACAGUGAUGUAAAUUGAAGAUAAGAUGCUGGAGUUCACCAUGCCUGCCUCUCUGGUUUAAACUAUUUCAAACUAUAGGUGUCUACCUCCACCUUGUGGCAGCUUGUCUGAACUUCAGCAGCAGGUGGAGGUGAAUGAGCUGUGGUUUUGUAAUAGUACUUGGGCUAAUGAUUUCGUGGUAAAGGAAGAAAGGAUUUGCUUCUAAAUUUACUAUAUACAUAAUUUACUGUGUUUGGGGCUAAUUCAGGCUUCUAAUAAUUGCUUCAACAGAAUAGUUCUUUAAAAUCUUAACAGUAUUUAGUCAUCUUGUUAUUUGGAGACAGAUACAAUCAAGGAAUAGUAUUUUUGCAGAAAAUACUAGAAAACCCCAUUUGUGUGAAUUUCUGUUCGGUGCUAGGCAUAUGUAUGAGAAUACAAACCUUGCAGCAGUUAUAACUUGAUUGUGGAUGUCUAGACCAGAGAUAGGACUGCAAGAAAGUGCUGCUUAAGUGUGCUUAAAAUAAGUAAACUGUUAAAUAAGUGAAAACGAACUAAUUUGGGUUGUGAGUAGCUCAGAAUCAGGAGAGGCUUUACUCAAUUUCAGACUGCAUGUGAGAAGGCACUGGAAUAAGCACUGGAAUGAUUUAUGAAAACAUCAGUCCUGUGGCAACUUCGUGGUGAUGCUGCUAUGGUGCUUUUUUAAUUGUCUGGAUGAGUGUAAGAAGUGUUCUUCUAAUGAAGUACAAGUCACAGUGAGUAUUAAGGUGCAAGCAGUACUGACUGCCAAAUACCUCUUGAUGCUCAUGAAUGAGGGUUCAGCCUUCCAGGAGGAAUAAAAAAACAGCUGUAUAUUAAAUAACGAGCUGGAAAUUGUCAACAACUUGAUGGAAAGUUGGUGAAUUUACCUUUUGAAGCGACUGCAUAAGUAACAGGUAAUAUAAGGAGCUUAUUGGUAGUAGGAGCAGGUGUGGUGAAAGUGACCCCAAAAACUUGGGGCUGCGCAGACAAAGCACUAUUUUGUCAGUCCUUUUGUUCUUAAAGGUAGAUACUCUCUUGAUUAGAAACAGCAUAGAAAAGUUGAGAAUUGCUUUGUACAGUUUGUUUUAUUUUGCUCAGUUAUUUACUAUAUCCUAUUUCAAACACUAAAUACCUUUUUUUUUUUGAAGAUCAAUGCCAACCUCUGUGGUGUUAAGAGGGCAACAGUGAAUACCUGAAGCAAGGAUAACCUGACAAAUGGGUAUACAUAUAUAUAACGUAGUGUGGGUUAUCCAUUUCAUUUUAAUAGGUUUUUUGUUUUGAAACUUAAAUAUCUUCUAGAUUGGUUAUCAGAUAAAAUGCUGUAGCAGAGUAUUUUAAUGCAUUUUAAUUUUUUUUUGAGUGCUAGUUCACUAAAUCACCAAAUGGUUCUUAUUCCUUUGCCAAAACUGCUGGCAAUUAAGCAUGGAGCUGGCUUUGAAGAGUCAUGGUUGCAACACUGGUUGUCAUGAUGUAAAACACUGAAAUGAUCUCAUUAAGUUGUUUAGAUCUUUAAUAUGUUAAUAGCAUACAUUGUUAACUUAACUACUGUCAGUUUCCAAUCUAAUGCUCAGAAAUAUUUAACAAUCCUACAGAGCUCAAUCCUUGCUUCCAUGAAGUUUUAAGUAUGGUUAAGGAUUGUUGAUGCUGACGGCUUUGGUCUUAACUAUCAAACUAUAAUGAAAACUCCCUCUUCAGAAGCAAGCAAGCAAGCAGAAAAAGGACUGCUGCAAUAUGAUUCACUUUUCUUGUGCGUGUCUCUUAGCUGGCAAGUACUUUGACUUACUGAGCUUUCCCGGUAAGCAGCCUCAGCUCUUUCUGAAGUGAACAAAUUAGAUUUAUUAACCUUCUGGGAUUGAUCCCCAGAAGCACCGCCAGGGAUGAGAGUGUACUGCUGGCUUGAGUGAAGGCCUGCAAUAUUUUCUAAGCAUGCAGCAUAAUAGCAUGUAGGAUGAUGUUUCAGUAGAUGACAUACAGUUAAAAUUACCCAUUGUAGGAUAAUGUAAUAGGCUGUUGAUUUCAAGUGCUGCAAUUUCUUUCUUUGAAUUGUACUCGUGAAUGUAUGGAGAUGUUUAUUUGUAGAUUGAAAGUAGUCAAGUAAAAACUGCACAGAAGUCUUUUCUACAUACAGGCUUGGUAAGUCUAAUGGUAAUUAUGUGAUUGUUUCCAAAUGGCUACGUUAUUAACAAUAGAGCUUACAAAUGUCUUGAACAGUAUAGGCUUCAUUUUUGCUGAUGGUACAGUGGAGAAGACAUUGGCCAUUAUUCCUAUGCACCUACUUAGAUGUGCUUGUUUUCUAGCACAUGCAAUUCUCUCUUAGAACUAUCAAACAGUUUCUAUCCUAAGGAUUCUUGAUGUCCCAUCCCUGGACACUUUCAAGGUGAGGCUGGAUCAGGCUCUGGGCAACCUGAUUUAGCUGCAUGGUGUCCUAUUCACUGCAGGGGAGUUGGACUAGAUGGCCUUUAGAGGUCCCUUCCAACUCUAAGGAUGUUGUGACUCCAAGAGAGCUGUAGAAGUCGGAUUGGGUGAGAACAGAUCUUGGCUUAUGUAUCUUUCUAAAAAUCAAUCUGAUGUUGCAAACAGAAUUGCGUGUAAUUUCAGUUAUUUUAAAUGUUUUAAAUUAUUUUGUUAUGGAGACAACUGGCCUAGUAGAUAUCUAAUAAUUAAAUGCUGUAUUAGUAUUUUAGUGGAGUAAAUGAUGUUAAUGGCUGUAUUUUUAUCUCUGCAGAUUUAGUCUCUAGGAGACUUGAAAUGCUUUUACCGGCUAUUUAUAGAGUUGCCACUGGAUAAGAUCUUGAUAGAUGUGGAAAGGGUAUAUGUUACAGCUCAUUACUUGUCACUAUACAGUGGGGGUAGUUGGUAUUCUGUGAAAUAAAAACACAUUUACUGGGUAGAUAAAUUACAACUGCAAUAGCAUAGCAAAAUGUGGUAUGGGAGCAGCUGUGUAACUUGUUUCUAGAAGAGUUGUGGCAAGUGACUCUGUAGAUGGGCAUGUAAUGAACCUUCAGAAACAUUGUGUGUAUACCAAAUAAACCAUCAACAGAAUAUGUAAUGUGACAACAGAGAGGUCAAGUAUAACUAUUACUUCAAAAACUAAAAAGAAUUUUGAAGGAUGAGUUUGAAAAGGUGUUUGGGAAACUUUUCUACUGUACAAAUAUCACAGAGCUACUUGAAAGUUCAAGUAUUGGAAGCUCAUAUUUUGCUAUCUUCCAUUUCUCAUGCAUCUGGAAAGCUUAAAGCUCUGACUUAAUUUUAACUUUGCAGAAUUAUAGGAAUGGAACUUUUCUCUGAACCUUGCACAACAAAUAGAGGUUAGGUAAACUUGUCUUUUGCUUUUGGGUCUACCACAGCAUGAAGUAAGAAAUGUGGCUCAGGAGUAUUUCCCAGUGUUCUUUCUCUGCCUUAUAUAUAUUUGGCAAUUGAAAUUGCCACCUAUUUCUGGAAGAACUGCCACCUCUGGAACAGUACCUCUGUACUGUUUGAAGUGGCAACUGUGUGAAGCACAGCUGACCUAGCAAUGAUGUAAAUGCCUGUAGGGAAAGAAGCACGCAGUGUUACUAUACCUAGGAUGUUUUUGUCUGGCACUGUGUGCCAGCUCUUUUCUUGCUGGAUGAAGGAUUUCCUUUUUGACAGUUAGAGGUGGUUUUGUGGGUAUCAUUCUUUGACCAUCUGCAACUGCUAACAUUUGAGUCCCUAUAGGAUGGACUGAGGAAACUGCACAGAGUUUGUGUGAAGUCUUUGGACAGGAAAGGAAUUCUGUGUUGGUAUUUGAUUCCACAAUCUCUUAAAUUCUGUUAAUCUUUUUUUCUCUCUCCUCUAAAGAAAUUAUCUAUUGUGAACUGGGAGAGGUCAGUUCCACUGAAGGUUGUGCCUUUCUUUGCUAGAAAUCUGACAGAAGUCAGAAGAGAUAGUUUUGUUGCUGUUUCAAUAUAAAAGCUGGUAUUUUAGCCUACUGAAGUUUGAGUUACCAGGGUAAAUAACACCUGGCAGAUGCUGUUGCCUUCAGGUCAGAUAUUCCUGCUGAAUGUCCCUGUAAGAUUGUGGAGAUUUCCUGUAAUUAUAUAUAUUUCUAUUUAAAAACACCCAAGUGUGGUAAACACAAUAAACUUACUCUUAAACAAAACUCAUUUAUUGCCAGUAGCAUAUGGAUUUCUGGUAAGAUUGAUAGAUGUGACUGUUUACUGAUACUGCAAUUGAUAUUCCAAUUAGAGUAUUUUGUGAUUGUUCUUUCAAGGCACAUAACAGACCAAAUCAUCUCAUUUCAACUGGAAAUCUCAAGACUUGGCGAUACUAUGUUUUGUAUCAUGUGUUUUUAAAUAUUAGAAUGAGAAAUAAGUUUGAGGAAAACAAAAUGAGAAUCUUAAAAUAGAAGUUUCCAGUUCUAUAAUGGUAGGACUUUAGUCAGUGAAUAGUCAGUAUAUUUAAUGCAACGUAUAUGUGCUAAUGACAUCAAAGGAAAUUCAGUAGAAGCUGUGUAAGUUUUCAUGCAACUUGGAAGCUAUUGGAAGAAGGCCCUGUUUUCAGCACUGCCUUGGCACAGUGGGAAAAGCGUGCCUUGGUACACAGAGCCCAGGAGCUGAGAAUUCAUAUGCUAAAACUGGGGAAUUUGUGGUGGUUUUUGUUGUUUUCAUUUUUUAACUGCCGAAAUGCUAGGCAAGGGAAAAUGCUGCGUGGUCUUUACUGUGGUGGGAGGUAAGCACAGUGGUUGCCAUAUAAAUAGCAAAUUGCUAAAAAAAAGUGAUGGCCUUAGAAACUUUAGGUUGCUAUAAAAGCGUAUGCUUGUAGAAUUUCACUGUUAAGUGGAAGUAAUCUUGCUCUUGUAAUUCAGUCUGUCUGUAAGCCAAAGAUCCCCUCUCCUAUUUGCUGAAGGUUGUCCUCAGCAGCAAUUCCUGGAAUCUUCUGUUAAGUGCUUCAUGGGUGUCUGGGGCCUGCUGGAAUGCAAAGCUGUUGUUCUGGCAUCUGUGCUCUCAUGCUGACUUUCUUCAGACUCCUGUUUUUGUGAUAGUGCCUCUCCUAAGCACUACAUCAAUAUUUGGUAAGAAGUAGGUUCUGUCCUGCACAAUGCGUGCAGUCUUGAAACGUGGGAUUGGUGGAGAUGUACUAUAGUUUUCAGUUCAUCAAUUUCUUUAUCUGUAAAGUGAAAGAUGAAGUUACUAAUUCCAGGUUAUGAAGUGGAUCUGAAGUAGCAAAAUGCAUGUAGACCAGAGUUUGGCUUGGCACUGCAAUAGAAUUUUCCCUUAGUUGUUCCUUAAGUCACUAUGGAACUAACAAAUUAGUUUGAAGACACUUCAGUGCUGGUUAGCUUCUGCUAGAAAACUUAGACUUAAUGUUACAUCACCUUUUUAGCUGCAUAAAUAUGCAGAGAUGGAAGUGCCUGCUUCCCUCUGUCUGUAGUCGGGAAGGCCAACUUGUUGAGAGAGGCAGAAAUAAUGCACUCUUGGAAUAUAUUUUACCUGGCCAACUUAAAAUGCUUUAGCCUAUCCUAUCAGCUACAAGCUAACAGCUGCUUACAGGCAGUGUCACUGCAACGCAGCUCUUUGUGGAAUAACAGAGGAGGAUGGUAAUAUCAAAGGGGAUUUGGCGUAAGGAGUGUAAGUUUAAUUCUGCAGUAGGAGAGAAUCUCUUCUGUAUACUCUGUAUGAAAGCAAAGAGUGAAUGAUUGGGUUUCUGAUGUGAUUGUUGUAGCUAUGAUUUCUUGUUAAAUUUCAGCUGGUCUUUCUACUGGCAGCUUGGUUGUGAAUGAAGACCUUGGCAAAAAGAUUGCCAGGAUGGGAAAGAACUUUCCGAAAUGUGGGGGAAAAAAAAAAGGCAAUGGGACUUAAGACAGCAGUGCUGUUUGGGUAAUCUUACCAAGUGCAUGCACUUGCAUGCUUUUGGUCAGACAAAUUAGUCUUGCUUCUGCCCACUAGUAAUCAGAGGGAGAAAUGGUUGUUGCUUUGUGAGUGACGGUGGAUUCAAAAGUCUAAUUCAUAGCACUCUAAAAAUUACUUUAUUGACUUAGAGAUUUAGGCCCUAUUAAUAGCAGUGAUAUUAGAUUUUUAACUGCAUGCCCUAUGUCAUACACAAGAGAGAAGGAAUUGAAUCAGAUAGUCAAAACUGUCACUGUUUUUUAAGCAAAAUAGAUUGCUGUGGGAGUGAUAAUUGGGGUAUCUGCUGUUGUAUUGAAGCAAACCAACUUUUUUUUUCCAAAAUUGGGCAUGUCAUAGAAUCAUCUUAAGGGUGAGCAGCUAUCCAUACCCUUUACACUGUGAUUAGUAAUGUCAUUUAGAAUUUUUUCAUCAGGUGUUGGCAAUGUAAGCUCUGGUUUUGCUUCUGCCUCACUACUGAGGGCUCUUGAAACUGAAUUGUUUUAUUAACUGAGUGCUUUCAUAGGGUAUGAGUUGCAAUGUGCAAAAACAAAUUUUAAAGGAAAGUAAUAGGCUCUGUCAUCUUACACAUUGUGUCAAGCUGACUUCAAACAAAUGCUAAGUAACAGCCAGUUUGCUUGGGUGGUCUUGCUUGAUAACACUUGAUUUUGUUACUAGUGAAAUUUGGGCAACUUUCAUAGUAUUGUUAGUGAUAGAAAUAGUAAGUUUAUGAUGUUACGUUGAAAAGUGAAAUAUCAUCUUGGCCCAGAUCAGAAGUUAGAUAUGAAAUUAAUUCAAAAUUGAUUGUAGUUUCUAAUCACAGAUCCUUUGUCAGCAGGUGCAGCUAUACUGCAGAAAAGUGAUACUUGCAUGACUAGUCUGUCAUGUUGUCCCAUGUCCCAGUGAACAUGAACAGUACCUUCUUUCUUUUGGAGGCAGGAAGAGAAUACUUCUAUUCAUGGGAACAUCAGAUAAGUUUAUCGAAAUAAAGUGGUCAUUCAAUUUUAAGAAGUUUAUAUUGUGUUCACAAAAAAGGAAAUCUGUAAUUCCAAGUAUCAUUUAUGCUCUACUGUUUCUUGUCUGUCUUAAUUGGUUUGUAAAUACUGUCUACUGUGAGUGUCAGUCUGGCUUUGUGACUGUGCUGUUGUCUGUCUGGGAUUACUAGUUUCAGUGUUACUUUGUGUUAAUGCAGUUCAGGACCUGAGCAGGCUCUGCAAAUUCUACAGAUAAGCUGAAACUGAUAAGCUGUCCUGGCACUGAGCAUGCAGGGGAGAAAGGUAGAGAGGCCCACUUCUUUGUGGGAAGUAUCUAGAUUUCAUUUAUGCCAGUUGCAAACUAACCCAAGUAAUGGAACAGUAAUCAUAUAAAACCAUCAAGGUAAGUGAUACCAUGCUUUUAUAGUACAUAAAUAUAUAUUUUUGUCUCUAUAUCGCUAUUAAAUUAUUCAUGCAUUCUAAGAUGUUUGUCCUGCUUUGUCCUAAGAGAAUUAGAGCAAAAAGCAAGUGGAAGAGGAAAAAGGAUGCAAAAAAAAAGAGGAGGAAGGUGGUACUGGGACUGCUAUAAUUUCCAGGGAGGGACUGUCAGGAGGAGCCAGCCAACUGGACACCCAGCACUGUUUUGGUUGUUUCCACUGAAUGCCUAUCCUUUAAAAUGGUAUUUAAAUGAUUUCCUACUAACAUCUUCUCAUAUUGAUAAGUAAAACAUUGGGUUAUUUUAUCCCUUAAUGCUAUUGAAAUGAGCUGGUGAGUACUGCUGAACUAUUUAUUUCCCAUUUAAACUACAGGACAGCUUGAAAUCCAUCUUGGUUUCUUGGCUGUGAUUACUUUGGGUUCAUUCUCACCCAGUUCGAGGAUAUGUCCCAGUUCAUGGAACAAUAUAAAAGUUCUUAUGAAGCGCCUGUUUAGCAAAUUAUUUCAGGAUACAUUGCAUCUAAACCAUGUGCUAAAAUACCAUUGGCUCAGGUGCAGGCUUUGCAAGGAGCAUGAAGCUUAGGUAAUGCAUCAAUGCCUUACAGAAUAGUAAAAUGUUGAAAAUCAAAUCAGAAAUACUAUGAAAACAUAAUUAUUUGGUUAACAGGAAAAUAUAUUAAAAACUACUUGUACUUAUGCUUACUGUGCUAAUGUAACUAUGUAUUAGUCAUACAGUGCAAAGCCUGCAUAUGCCUACAGCCACCCAUAUGCAGAGUGCACCUGUCUGUGGUUUUACAACAUGAAAGUAUGCCAAGUAACGUACACAAAGCAGAGACCUGAUUGCAGUCUUUAGUGAGAAUUAGAAGAUAUUUUAUGUUGAAACUCAAGGUGGGUUUCUUCCUAUCUGAAUGUGAAAUGUCAAAGACCAAAACUUGUUUUAAUUCUGUUGCUUAAGCAAUAUGACAGUACCUAAUCUGAAUGGAGUGGGGUACGUUUUUAAGGUAAUACUUAUGAAAAUGCAUUCGGCAACAGCUUUAACUAAGCAAACUUAGAAUGUAGAAGUAAACUCUAUUUCAUCAUUGGCUUUUCAUGGUUCGUUAGUUCUGACGUUGGAAAUUGGAAUGCCACCUGGGUGAGAAUGCAUUAGAUUAUUUUCUGCAGUGCUGUCUAUCUUGAUAUAAUGCUGACUCUGUUAUUCUUGCGUUUAAUGUAUUCAAGUUGGCAUGGCUGUGAAAGGCAUAAUUCUCAUUACAUGUGCUAAGCCAAGCAGCAAGGGAAACAAGCUUGACUAAAUGCUUGGAUUUCAACCAAUGGUGCAGCAAACUGGUGCUGGUUCUGAAAAUGAAAACUAUUCCUGUAUUUUCAUCAGCUGAAAAUACCGAGAGCUUUAACCAAAUAGUUUGCAAGCAACAACAAAAAUGAGGACGCAGUUUUAGCAAGGUAAUGCACGUCAGUUUAAAAACAUCAAAAUGAAAAUUAUUGUGAAUAACGUGGGUUCUUGUUACUAAUGACAACUGGUUAUUUUUACACUGAAGGACAUCCUGUGCAGCACUUGCAUUUUGAGAGUUGAUGCAGUCCUUGGCAGCAGCAAACAAUAAAAACGGAUAGGAAUUUUUGGUACCAGUAGCUGCUUCAAGAACUCCUGUAGGUCAGUUUUUCAGAAUGCUUUAAAGCUAAGAAAGUUGCAUCAGCAGAGUUCCAGUUGUCCUUGAGAGCCUGAUAGCAACUUUGAACUCCUUGCUUUCACUAUGUAAUUGUCCCACUGUGUUGGUGGGCUGGCAGUGCUCUCAGUAAGAGUACUGCUCUGUUCUUAGAAAUAAAUGAUUCUCUUACACAGCUGAGCUCCUUCCAUAGUUUUGUUCUUUUCCAAAUACCUGCAGAGUUCAUGGCUAUUUAUUAGCAUGUGUGACAGCUUAAAAUGGCUCCUGACAACAAUUACCACUUAGGUAAGUGGCAGUCUUUGUUGGCGGUGCAGUAACAAACACAAUCUCUAAAGAUAAGUCUUCAGUCUGAAAGUAUAUGGGGCUGGUAGCUACUAUCCAGCAUAUGUUAACAGACACAUUUACAUGUAGAAUGUUGUAAGUAUGUGUCUCCACUCCUGUAAUAACAGCCACCUCCCUGUUUUGUCUGUAUCUUCAAGGAACUCAGUGUUACUCCCCAGAUGUAAGCAAUUUUUUUGGUAAGAAUAUCAAUUUUAGAACUUUCUUUAAUUUUAAGUACUCAAACUUCUAUCCAUCUACUGUAAUGUGAACCUGUUCAUGUGCUGGUGAAAUAAGCCUCAAAUUGUCAAUUCUUCUCUUGCUUUUUGCUGUCUCGCACUUGACAAUGACUUCAAGUUGUUUGUAGUUAAUUCCAGGGCAGAUGAAUGCAUUGCUUGCGUGGAUGGAGAAUAUGCAUACCAUGCAUAAUAUGUAUGUAAUUCUCAUGUAGGACAAGAGAGGAGACAUUGCUCUGCUGGGGGAGCUUGUGCUCAGAAACUGGAGAGGUGUUAUCACAAGACAUGACAGAUGAUGGCAAGAUUUAGUUUCAUGAUUUUCCUUUUCAUUUUAAUUGUUUCUGUUUUAUGGGCCUGUUUUUUGUGACAGGGUUAGCCCUAACGAAAGCGUUUGUUUUCAGGGGAAACCUAGCAGCUACAGUAGAAGCUUGAUGGGCUAUGUUGGGAGAGAAUUGGAAGUGUUUGGUGCAUCUUGCUGCAUGCAUCUAGUACAGUGAGGUUUGCUUCAUAUUUUUUUCUUCUUUACAUUUAAUUUUGUUUUCAAAACUCACUAAUGUCAUUGACUGCUGUAUGGUGUUAACAGUUCACUAGCCAAAUACAUAAAUCCAUGAGACCUGAAGGUCUUAUGUCUCUCUGUGUCUGUAUUUGGGAAGCUUUUGGGAAUGACUAGGAACACUACAGAUGUGAAACUUGAGUGGAAGUCCCCAAGUUGUUUGCCAAGCUUUUCUUAAACUGGAAGAAUAGGUGACCUAACCUACUUCAUAAAUAAAGACUGAACUGUACUGAGCAGCCUGGAAACGGGUCAAAGAAAGCUAUAGCUGUUGUUCUUAAAUACUGCCUGUUAGCACUUCAUUAUGCUUGCCUGUAGCCCAGGAUCAGAGUACUAAACUAUCUUUGUUAGUAUAUUUAAACAGAGCAAAAUAUCGUAGCUAAAUUGAGAAUCCACUCUUCAUGAACAUAGUCUCUGAUUUAAGAAAAUACUUGAGUUAAAUAUUUUUAAUUUCUAGAAGUACUUGUGAGUAAUAUUAUGUGUUAUAAAGUAUGUUACUUAUGCUGCAUGGUUUUCACAUAGCUUUGUUUUAAAAUGGUGGUUUUCUAAAGGACAGUACAACAAAAUUAUUGACAUCACAGAGUAACCGCUUAGGUUUAACAGAUACUUUCUGUAUGACAGCCAGAUGGGGGCAUAGAUUAGCCUUUAUGGUAACAGUAUGCAUUGAGUUCACGAUGUGUUCAGACAUAAGUUUUUUGUGACAGGAGUAUUGGUUUAAUGAAACGUGAAUUCAAUAUGCAUUUUCAUUAACUGACACUACUGUUCUUUAUUUCUAAUGAAACAAAACCUUGAAGAGCUUCAUUUUACUACUUGUUCCCUGCUAUUUUGAGGAGCACAUAACAUUAGAGUAGUUAAUUUAUUGCUUUGGUAGAAGAAGAUUAAACUAUAUAAAAGAAAACCCAUCUGUUUGCUUUUCCACAUGGAAUGUAGAAGGUAAGUUAAUAUGACAGGAAAACAGACUUAAUGUAGCAGGAGAAUUUUCAUCUGUGCCACUCAAGGCAGCCCUGUUGUAUUGGUCUGAAUUACGAUAACCUAAAACUAAUAGGGCUUACCUUUGUGGUGCUUCUUGAAAAUGUGGCAAACUCGUUGGAAAAGCUGUCAGGAGGAUUGUGAAGACGAGAAAUAUGAACUAAGUGUGACUUAGUACUGCAUCUCCACAGGUGCCAAUUAGGAUUUUUACAUGAGUACAAUGAAGGAAAGAAGUCUCUUAGCUUUUGUCCCAUGGCUUUGCUUUAGAAUUGGAUUCUGCAAAAUUCAGAGUAAUCUCUGGAAGUGCAAAGGAAACUUCUCCUGCAUAAGUUUUGUCUGAAUCACCUUCUGAGAGCUGACAGUUUCCAGAGAUAGUUCAGGUUUUUCUAUAAAUCCUAAGAUAAUCAGCCGCUUCCUCCUUCUGUUUGAGAGGGGACUGAAAGGUCUAGUUUUGUUCUUAGGAAUGUUACUGAUAAUUGCAUCAGCCCGUGAUUGCUGUUUAGCUGCUGCUUGCAAUGAUAAGAUACUCGAACUUCAGAAAUGUGUUGCUAAUGACCUUCAGUAUACUCUUUCUUGACUCUGCAGCGAAAUAAACACUUCAUAUGUAGUGGAUCAAAGGCGAUAAGCAUUACUGAAGCUGAGAUGAGUGCUACAGAACUCAUCUGUUCUUUAUAAUGUGUUUGUCUGUUCUUAAGAAUGGUGUAUGAUGAAGAGCUGUGAACACAAAACAAUCGCGUUAGAGCAGAGUAUCCUUGGCUCAACAGCUGUACACUCACAAGUUUGAGAGGAACAAAGCCUUGUGGAGAGACGUGCCAGGAACUAUAAGGUACUAAACUUGUACAAGCAAACAGUUAUAUUUGUGGGACUGCUGCUCACACAGUUCUCAGACUAAGUAAGGUAUGAGCAGCAAAACUGAGCUCAUCAGUGGUGAAGUGCCUUUAGUCUUCUCUUGGAUCACCAGUGAAGAAGGGAAGGUAUGGUCCAUAUGACCAAUUUGGUUAGUGCUGUGUCAGAAUAACAAAGGUGAAUAUCAACAGCAAAGCUAUCAAUGUUUUUCACAUUAAAAGUGCAUUGCUAAAUCUAACUGGGCAGAAAAUAUGUAGUAUGCCUCGGGGAUAACCAACUUUAGCAACUGCAGACUUAGAGUUUGUGGAGUGAUGGCAGAUGCAAUCCCAUAGCCAUUCUUUACAAAACGUUCUCUCAUCUUAAGGCAUGCAAACAGACACUCAAGCACCUGUUCUGCAAAUGCAGGGGGGAGAAAAAGAUUUUCUUUUAAGCUUGCAAAAUUAAGUACUAUAAGAUACUCUUCUUAGAGUUUGACAUAAUUUCAUUAUUUUUUCACAUAAAGAGUAACUUGUUUACAGUAAGGCUAUGGAAACAAUCAGCUUAAAAAUUGAGGGCACCUACUCUAUUGUUUGCUAUAUUCUCUACUGUUUGAUGAAGAUUAAUCAAUUCUCUCUAUGUUCUUUGCUGCAAAUAUAAAGGCUAGGGAAGCCUCUUAAUCUAUGUCUGAAGUACCGUUGCUAUUACUGAAAUUGAAUUCUCUGUGCCUGUCACCAAAUAGAUGCAAUAGACUCAUUCUUUUUCACUUCAUAAGUAUAGCUUUCCCAUUAGCUAAACUGGCCAAAUGCUUUGCUUUGUUAAUUUACUUAAUAAGGACACUGAGUGAACUCCUUUCCAUAUAUUCUAUUCCAUCAGUCUAUACAGGAAUGGGUGUGGGGGGGUGGGAGGUACUGGGCAUUUAUGUGGAUGGCAGAGUUAGUCGUGUGCAGGGAUUUCAGUUUAAGAAGGAUUAAAGCAGAUUGGGGGAUACUGGGGAAUAAGUUAUCAUCUUCCCUUAAGAAUUUUUUGCAGCAAAACUCAGUUUUAAGAGUUUAAGAUUUUAAAUACUUUGGCAUAAAUUCACCCUGGAAAAACUGGAGCCUCCCUCAAUUUUAAGCUGCAAGAUGACUAAGUUAUUUAUUUGAGAUAUACCUCAUCACUAAAUCUGGAAGAGCUAUGAAUACAAAAUGCUGCAGUUUGCUUACAUUUUCUCUGGAAAAAGUAUAUAAAUUAUAACUUAUUUAUUUGUUAUACUAAAGGUCUUUCAGAUAUUUUUUUUUUCAGGAAUAUGUUUGAAUCAGGGAUCUAUAUCAAUUUAACCUAAGAAAAAACUCCUCCCUACGACACUGUGUGAUGUUUCACCCUUGCUGUUUUAGGAUAGCAUCACCAUGUCUGUAGGUUGCAUUUCUUCUUGAGAUCCUUUGAACCAAAGGCAUAAUAUUACAAAGAUUGUUUUUUAUUCCAAACAGCAUUUAGAAGGAGGACAGUAGUGUCUGCAUCUGUGUUCUCACUGUAAAACCAAGAGAUUCUUGGAGUCCUGAGGAGAGUGAUAGAGUAAGGAAGGGGUGGCUCUCAGGCCACAGUCAAAUGACAAGAGAGCCCUGGAGCAGUGUGGCAAUCUGGCAAGAAAAAAUUUUCUAACAGCAGUGACGAAGUCUUAAGAAAUAUAUAUAUCUUAAAAAAAUAAGUUUUGAAAACCUCUUUGCUAACUGGUUAAAAUUAACACAAAAAUACUGAGGCAGACAUGGUGCUGGAGGCAUUUAAGUCUUCUGCAGUUAGAAAUACUUAUCUGUGUAGAAGAGACUUGCCUCCAGAAUUGUUUGUCAGCCUUCUUGAGAUGAAGAGGCUUUAGCUACGGAAGGACCUCAGGAAGGGGCUGUAGAUGGUGAAAUAGUAUUCUUUUCCCUUUUUGUAUUUAUUGGAGGUUUCAGGUCCACCGCUCUGCAAAUGAAGAGCUCGUGCUUCAUGCCUUCCAAACAGACUAUAAACAGCAGUAGCCCAUUGAGCUAACUGUUUGCUUGUUCGAGUGUUUGGAAACAAUAAAAUGAAGAGAGAAAUAGAAAGAGGCAGGCUGCCUUCUUAACAAACUCCCAGAAGUAAGAGUCAUUUUCUGUGCACUGAAAAAGCCUGCAGCCCAACUCUCUCUUGUCUGAAUGUGACAUAUUAGUCUCAGAGUUCCUUAGGAAAAAAGGAAAAUUACUAGCCAGUGGGGCCAUUUAUUUUUGUUUCUGUGUGUUUAAGUAAAAACAACAACAAAAAAAACAGUAGCUAUUGCCUGGAUCAAAAUGAGUUGUUCACUAUAGAUUUUUUUCACCACUCCUGACUCAGGGUACAAAUAACCACAGUGAAAUUCUAAAGAUGCUGUUCUGAAUUUUGUUUCCCUUCUGGUUAAAAUGCUCCAUUUUGAAACUGCUAAGGAAUUGUAAAUAUAUAGCUCUGCAAAAAAGCAAACAAAAAGGCACCCCAAAAACGCCAAAUGAAACAACAGAUUAAUGGUUAAUUUUUCUUUGCUAUUACUUUAUCACUCAGGGACACAGCUGCAUAUAUAAGAGCAGAGAUACCAUUUUAUUUUUGACUAAAUUUGGUCUAGAGGAUCUCCAGAGGUCCCUUCCAAGUCUUAGGAGUCUGUGAUUCUUUCUUUUUGCAAAGCAACCUGCAAGUAAAAAAGGUAGAUACAAUCCACAUUAUAUGUGAUGUGUUGGAUAUUAGGGCAAUGGCCAAGAAGGCAUUCAACUCUAUUUAUUUACUCAUGGAACCAAAACAAAGGUAAGGCUGGCUGGGGGAAGUCCUGUUCUUCCAAAGCUUUUUGUGCAAAGCCACUGAUGCCAAGAGGCAACAGAGAAGAUCUUUGGUUAGGGCUUGAUGGCUACUCAUUAGCGGUUAUAAUCCUGGCAACCAGUUUGUAAAUAUGUUUAUGUCCUAUUUUUAGCUUUGAUCAUUGUAAUCUCUUAGCAGCCUUGAGGUCUACUGAGAUAGUCUAAUGAGUGAAGGAUCCAUUCUCAUAGCACAAAGGUGUUAGUACCAUUCAGAUAAGCUUUUCUGUCCCCACUGCAGGCAUAUGACCUGCUCCAUAAGAGAUGACCCAAAGCUUUGCCCUGGGGAAGUGGCGGUGUGGGUAGCUGGGGGUCUAACAGCUGGGCCCUGCUCACAGCUUGCCUUGCUGGAUGUCUGUUAUUGGAUCUUUUUUUCUCCUCAGUGCAUACUUUAUUUUUCCUGCUGAGAAUGUGGUGAAAUAUGUGUUCUUUUUAUGCUAAGGUGGCAAUGAUAAAUCAAGUGAAAGGUACAUGUAUUUUAUCUGCAUUGUGCAAACAGGUUGAGCCACUACACAGAUUUUAUUUCUAAACAGAUGUUUGGAUGAGACAUCAGCAACAAUUGUUCUUAAAGAAGUGGUAGUUUGGAAGGAUUCUGUUUUGUGAAGUGCCUUUUUUGUUUUCUACUACUGAAUAUUUCAGCAAGUAGGGAAGGAGAAAACAACAGGAUGGGAUUGCUGUGAUGGCAUUCCUUUAGGCUUGUCUUUCCUAUCCCUUACAUGCUUAUCUGUCUGUAUUGAAAUGAUCUGAUCUGGGAUUCACAUAGCUGUGAAUUUCCACGAACAAAUGAAAAGCCUCAUGCAAAUACAAUUUCCUUAAUAGCUUAACUUACAUCUGCUUUUACUCACCCAGCUUUCUCAUAAUUAGCAGAGAAAUCCCCGCUCAGUGUAUACAUGAAGGCAGGGUGCAGGAUUUAUAUUAGUCUGUUUGGAAACCUGUUCUGAAGUCUGAGUCCUUUCACAAAUCAGUAGAGCGAAGUGGUUUUUGUGGAUUUAUUGCUGUGAAUGAGACAAGAAUCAAACCUGCUUAUCAGGAGAAUUAGAUCUGGGAACAGGUUUCUAGGAACUAUGAAGUUGCACAUUUCUAUUUGCAAAAUCUGGUCUAAGCAUGGUUAAAACCCCUCAGUAAGGGUUAAGUUAUCCUCCUAGAUAUAUGUGAACAGCAGUGAACAGUGCAUAUGUAUCCAAAGGCUCAUUUAAUCCCUGGGGAAGUUAUGUCUAUUUUGGAAUUUUUGUUUUGUAAAGAUACUGGAAAAAAAGAAGGAAUUUCCUGCUGUGGAAGACCAGCUUCUCCUUGACUGCUUAUGCUGGCUAUUAAGUUCUGUAGUAAGAGCAGAUACAAAUCUUUAUUGCAUUUCACAAAAAAACGAAGCUUUUUAGUGCAGACAUAAAUGAGUACAUAAUUUGCAGCACUUUGUAAUUCCUAUUUUGUUGGUGUUGCUACGGAAAGCAUUAAUUGCUUUUCCAUUUUUUUUAAUCAGGCCCAAUGAUGGGUGGGAAGAGCACUGCCAUCCCUGGGUACCUGUGUGUUGGGAGCACAGUUAGCUAUCAGAUGUGGGGUGCCGCAGGGUGCUCGGUAAGGUAUUUGCAGUGUGAUAAGAACACACUUGUUCUGGAGGGGAGGCAGCUUCCAGAGGUCCUUCUGCAUGUGCAGGAGACCCUUGGUGUGUGUACAGUAGAGAGACAAAGCCUUCUUACUCAAGUAAGGGCUGUGCUGGAGUAAUUGUCAGGACUUAAGCAACCUGGUCUAGUGGGAGGUGUCCCUGCCUAUAGCAGGGGGGUUGGAUCUAGAUGAUCUUUAAGGUCCCUUCCAACCUAAACCAUUCUAUGAUUCUCCUUCCCAUGGGGGAUUUGCAUAGAACUGUCUCUCUUACUACUGAGAACCUCUACACGUGCAGGAGUGCAUUACAGACAUCCAGUUCUACCAUGCUGGUUGUAUUUGAGGUGACCAAUGGGGGCACUGCUGUGCAACCCAAGCUUUCUUCUGCUCCUGGAGACCAAGAGCACCAUGCAACUCUUCUGAAGCUUGUUGUGCACGGGGUGGUGAGGUAAGCUUCUGCCGUGGGCAUGAGUAUUGAGUGAAUUUAAACCAGAUUCUUCCAAGGCUAUCCUUGUAUUCUGACCAAUUCCUUAUCCUUGUAGCUGUACAACAGCAAAAGAAAAUGGUUCUUUGAUUACUAAGCAUCUUAGAUUUGAAGAGCAGAAAGGAUGUGUUUCCAGCAGCUGUUUAGAGCUUCCUAUUCUGUCUUCUCCUUUUCUGAUAGUGGAAGACAGGCAGUGUGCUGGAAAUGAAAACCAAUGAAAUCACAUUUUGUUGCUCCCUGGUGUCAGUGGUUCUGUUAAAGAGACUUUCAACCAACGGUGGCUGUGAUGGGUGUUGCGUCUCGUAGGAUGAUGAAAAAAAGGCUGGAGAUAACCUCACUAGUGUAUAUUUAAAAUGUGAUAUGUGCCACUUACAUGCUGGAUGUUCUGAAAGGAACAAACGUUAAGCUUCAACACAAAGGGUUCUCAGGGAAGGGGUUUCUUGCGGCUUUUGUUUGUUCCCUGACUGAAAUGUGAAGAAUUCAGACCAUGAUGAUUUUUUUUCAACUGCUUAAUUCUUUCCCACACCUGAACAAAAAUAUAGGAAAAGUGAUUUUCUUAAAUCUGUCAGUUAAUUAAAAAUCCUGCUAGGGUUUCUCCUAGAGACAGCAAAACCACUCUGUUCACACGGUCUGGGAAUUGGUACUUUGGACACUGGAGAGAGGUUGGGUUCUGCUUUACUUUUCCUUCUUUAAAUCUUUUUUGCUUGAACUGACAGCAAGUUUCUGUCCUUGUCCUUCAUGUUUGUGAGUCCCGGGAGAACAGCACAUACCAUUCCUGUGCUAUUUUUACUCCUUCCUCCUGGUAAUCUAUUGGUUCUUUCAGCCUAAAUCAGGUCACCUUGAGGAUUAAAUAGCGGUGUUAUGGAAGGCCUUUUCUGGAAUAAAAUCAGUUUUUUCUUUUCUUUUUUUUGUUUGUUUGUUUUUCAGUAUGAUGGGGAAAAAGGGGAUAUUUUUUCCCCUGGAGAAGAUUGAGUAGCUUUUUAUCUCUGGUGCACUUAAGCUGUAAUAUAAAGGUCUGGGGCACUCUAUAUGUUUUUCACACUGAGAGAAUAAUUAAUCUUAAUUGCACUGAUCAUUUUACCAUUCUUUAGAGGGUAAGUGAUUACAAAUGGCUUUACAUCAGGAGGCUGAAUAAGAUGUAUCUUAUCCAAACACCUAUUGUUUGGCAAAAAUUAGCUACCAUUUGUUGUGUGGACAAUGGAAUUGCCUCAGCUAUGCUGCUGUAGUGAUACAGCUUUUUACAUCAUUAUCUUCAGCCUGCUUGUGUGUAGAGAUGCCCCGUGAAAGCCAUAGAUGAUUUAUGACACCAGCAUGUGUACAUCUCGGGGUUAGAGGUAACCAAAGCACCAGUUUUAAACCUUAAGAGUUUUCACACUCCCAAUACUUACUGAGCACGCUGAGGUUUAUAUACACAGAUAUGUGUAAAUGUUGGAAUAAUGAAAGGCCGGGGUAUCCACAUGAGAACUGAAUGCAAACACUUGGCAAACAGCCAGUGCAAACGUGAGAGGAAAUAAUAAUCUUUUUUCCAAGUAGAUGAGCAGUGUUUGAUCCUCAUCUAUCCUAGACAGUUUAGUGAAGCACUUAUGUGUGCUAGAGUUGUCAAUGAUGUACACACUUAGCCUUUAUCCUUAACUCUAAAUUAGCCUUCCAGCAGUAGCGCUACAUGCUGAGAGUCAAGUGGGGCUUCUGAACCAUGUGUUCACAGUGAUAUCUAUUUUAAUGAGUUGCAUUGUCUGCUUAAUACUUCUGUUUUAGGGCAUGAAGUUAUUAGCAGGAAUGGAGAGCAGCUCCCCAACCUCCCAGCAGAGCAUGUACUUCGGUUCAAAUCAAUGUUUUCUCAGCUCAGAUCUGCCAAAACUACUUGGUAUUUUAUUCUGUCUGGCUGUGGUUUCUACUUGGAUCAUGUUAUUUAGUGUUCAAGUGUCUAAGCUGUGCCCAUGUGUUAUGGUAUACAGGUAAGUAAUGUUGGGUCUGCACUUACUGAUGCUUUGCUGUACUGUUUUGGUUGGAUGUCUAGAUGCUUUGAGUGCUCUCAGUCUUGUAAACCUUAGCAGCUGUUUUAUGCAUGCAACAGCAAUAGUCUUCCAGCCUCUGGAGAUCUCUCCAUGCGUGCUGCCGUGUCAGGACUGAAUUAUGGAGAAGCCAAUUAAGACCCACACACAACAAAUUCUCCACUGAGAUAAAGCAGUCAGCAGAGGUUGUCCUGAUUCUGCUUACAGAGGCGUUUCUUAAUAACCUGCAGCAGGUCCAAGAACAAUUUCAUUACUAGGGAGUUUCUUGAGGGGGCACUUGAAAAUGACAGAAACCUGUAUGUUCAGGGCUGUUCUAAUGCUUGCCUUGUCUCUGUGAGGCACAGCCUGACCUGGGAUUUCAGUUUUUCCAAAAAAUUUCCUGCUUUAACUUCUUUUUCUCUGCUAUGAUCUUGGUGCAACUGAAGGAUGAGAGGGCAAAGACACUUGGGCAACUCAAAUGGCAGCAGAAACACAGUCAGCUGCAUUAAAAACACAAAAGAUGUGGAAGCUGGGUUUUUACUGCUCAGCCUUGAGGGAAGAGAAGAUUCUCAAGAUGCCACUAGGGCAUAAGAGCUAUUGCAGAGUGCAGUUGCCCCUGAGCUUUGAAUUCCUUCAGUUCUUUUGAAAUAGCCUGGUGUUUCAUGUUUGAUUUCAGCCACUUUAACUUUUAAUAAGGAGGAGAAAACGAGGCUGUGGAACUGCAGGUGAAUAAAACUACAGACUGGAACUGUUGAGAUUGGAUACUAGGAAACAUCCUCAGAGCAGUGAGGCAGUGGCACGGGCUGUGCGGGGAAGUGGUGGAGUUACUGUCCCUGAAGGUGUUUGGGAACUGUGGAGAUGUGGCACUGAGGCAUGGUUAGUGGGGAUGCUUGGACUAAUGAUCUUAGCCAUCUUCUCCAGUCUUAAUGAUUCUAUGGAAGAGGGGUUCUUUGGUGAUAUCUGUAACAUCUUGUGACUGUCAGGCUUUGCUCCUGUUCAGAACCCCUGUUAGCAAGGUCAGUGGGGAGGGUCAAUGAUUCUCUGACCACCUAGUUAGGGGCAGGAAAGAAAUUUUGCAUGGAGUUCAAUAUGGUGAUGGUUGAUGCAUUUGGAUCAGAGAAAACCUUCAUGACUCAAAACUUGCAGUUCUGACAGACUGUAAUAUAUCACACUAUGAUACCUAGACAGUUGUACAGGGAAAUUCAUGCCAUGAGUGAUACAGUGCCUGGGGAGUUCUUACUUGAGUUUUCUGCUUUCCCUGUUAAUUGCAUCAGCUUUUAAUAUCUGCUGCUCCAAAGCCUGAAUUUAAAUGUAAACCCUGUGAAUAUAGUAAUUAAACUUUAUUCAUGACUUUCCAGACUUGCUGAGAAAGCAUUUGAGGAUGGAAAAGGCAGAAAAUGAACAAGCAGGUGAUAAGCACGUUUUCUGAUAUUCAAAGUGUUAUAGUUUGUCAGCUAAAAAAAGGUUGGGUCUGAAUUGAACUGCUAACCCAAAUGGAAUAGCUAGACAAAUGUAAGAGCAUAAUGUUCCUCCUUCCCUUCUGUUAUUUUACAAAUAAGGUAUUAAUUUGGGCAUUUGGGGUGGAUGGGUGUGGUACAUCACUCUCUGUCAGAACUGGGAGUUUUGAGUCGUGAAGGUUUUCUCUGAUAAAACCAACACCACAUUCUAAACUAGAAAUCAGCUGCAUUAAAAAUCAUCCCCCAUGGUGGUUUUACUCCUGAGUUCAGUGACGUAGCCCAUCUAGCAUUUAAAACUUAUACUCCUGGAUGUAAACAAAUUUCAGGUUUUUUGAAGGGCUUGCUAUGGAAAAAAAAAAAAAAAGGCAGCACAAGAGCCACACAUACAAAGCUUUCAGGCAGGUGGGAAAAUGUUAUAGGCUGUAAGGAGAAUGGUAAGUGUUACCACGAGUUUGCUCAUCCUUUUUUCCAGGAUGCCGUAUCAAAAUGGAAAGUGCUCAGAAGAGCUGUCCAUGUUGUUGGUAAGCUCUAACUUCUUUUCAAUUUUAGCAGAAAUUCUGAAGCUCAAAAUGAUUUUACAGUCACUGCCCUUUGACUCAGUGCUUGUAUGUAAAUUUAAGGUUGAAAUAAGCAGCCUAUACCUGUGGAUAGUAUUUUCUUUUUUCAGGACUUGGCUUAAAGUGUCCAGCAGAUGGUGCAAUGUGCUUUAUUUAGCUGCAGAACUGCUUACACUUGGAGACUUCCUUUGGAUUGACUUGUAAUAUAGUAGUUUUAUAAGCUCUGGUCAGAAGCUGGCAUUUCAGAGAAGUGAAUUUUAGUUCUUCGCUGGAAUUCAGCAUCUUUCCUCCUCCAAAAAAUAGAAGUUGCUUAAUGCUGUGUUGGUAGGAGAGUCGGUCAGUACCUGAUACAGUAUGUUUGUAGUUUAAAUUCACUACUUUUUAUAUCCAAACAAAAAUUUCCUCAUGUUAAUAAUGGGUGUAAGACAGGACAUUGCUAGUUUUCCAGGUGAUGAGGAUUAAUCAUUAGCCAAUUGCAUUUUGCACACAAAUGGUUUGUUUUCUUGUCCAUGCUGCCCUUCUCGUACAAAAUCAAAGGGUUAAUUUGCUACUGGGAACUGCAGGCCUGAAUGCUGUUGAGCAGCAGAAUAGCCUAAGAUGUCAUCUCUGACUGUGAGCAAGGUUGACUCAGAGGCCCUUGUAUAAGUCUAACUCAGAUUAGAAUGAAAUAGAACAGUAGCAACAACACUGUUCCCCUCAAAACCAAACAAAAACCAAAUCAGCCUACUCCCACCUCUAGAAACAUGUAUGUGUUGUGGUCAUCAUUAGCAGAAACCACAUGAACAAGAAAUAUUUGUAACAGCAGUGCAAAGAUAGUAUGAAUUAGUUUUCCUUCUCUGAUUGUCUUAAAGAUUUCCUCCAACUUUUCAAAACUUCAGAGGGGCCACAGUGUUGAAAAAUGCACGCUGAAGAUUCAGGGGAAGCUGUAAAGCUCGAAAGUCUUGAAUUCCUUGCAGCAGAUGCUUUUUCUGUGUUCUGCUCCCUUUUACUCCAAUUCCCCUACACAAAUUGAGCUUUGAAGCCAGAAGUGAUGCGUAAGGAGACGGUUAUGUCUUUUUUGGAGAAAAAAGUCCAAGGGUAGCAUGCAUGAAUUCCUUCCAGAGUUGGACAGGCUUGCUUCAACAACUUGUGAUGUUUAAAAGCCAUUAAAUUACUUAGCCAUCUGCUGUUAAUAAUGGGAAACUUCUGAUAGAGCUAAGGUCUGAACAAUGGGAAUGAAUUGUUGAUUGUCCUUAAAGUGCAGUAGGCUUUGUUGUAAUCAUGAAACUGCAGUCUAUAAAUAUUUUAAGUAUCUUAAAAGUGUAUUUCUAACUCUCCCUUCUGUGGGCUUCUGAAUGCAGCACUCGUGUAAAUGAAAUGCAAUGUGAGAGGAUCUGAUUUAAUCCCUACUGGCUUCAACGUGCCUACUGAGUUUGGAGGUAAAUCAGCCAUAGGCCACCUAGGGUUUAUUGUAACAAAUGUGAGCACAGGGACCCAGGUUCAGAUCCGGAGUUCAGAUGAGAACAUUUUAGGCUUGCCUGGAGUGGGAAUGUGGAAGAAGCAGGGAGAAACUAUAGCUGCUCUUGUCAUUUUAUGGAAGUCUUUUUAGUUUACUAGGCACAGUAAGUUUUGCUGACUGAUGUGGUUUCCAAAAGUGUUUCCCUGCUAGACUGCUUCUGAUUAAUAAAAUAUAUGAAAGCAAAGGAAAAAAGAUUCUUUCCUAGCCUUUUUUUCCUGGUACUUAUGACUAAUUUACGUUUUUAGCAUCCUUGAAUGCUACAGACCUUAGAUGCUUAGAUCCUUAAGAUGUUUACCAUCCUUAGAUGCUUAGAUCUGCAUGGUCUUUCUCUCAGCCAUGCUGGAAUUGUUCUGCUUGCAUUUUAAGUUGUUCAGAUGCUGACAUGCCCUGUACUGAUAACUCUGUAAUUGCAUUAGCACAAGGCUUUGUCCAACCUAGUAAUCCUUGGUGAGCAGCAGCGGAGUGCUACAGUAAUACAGUGCAAUCACUUCUUGAUUGGAGAUGGUGAGGAUCUGAGUGAUUCGAAGGACUAGCUGUUGCCAAGAGGCAGUAGGUGACAAUAUUGGGAUUCUAAUGUGACAUAGAAAUAUUUCAAAAACAAAAGAAUGCCUUUUUAAUAUGUAGUUGGUACCAAGUCAAAUCCGGAAGACCUUUGACUGUUUUGUUUGCAAAAAGACAGAACAAAUACCCAGUGCCACUAAUAAACUAAACCCGAGAAGUCUCCCAUGUCAGUGGUUCUUUAAUAGAAGACUUCACCAUUUACUUCCCUUCUGUUUUCCAGGCUAGAAGCAACGCUAGAAAUUAUGUUAACAGGAGUGGCACGUAGCUGACCUGCAUGGUAUUCACCAAUAGGCAGGAGCACAUUCUCCCCCAAGUUAAUAAUUUCUUAUCCCUUGGAUGACUCUGUAAAUACAUGUGCAGUACAGCUGGAGCUACAGAAGUACUAAAACAGUUUACAGUGAUGUUGGACAGUUAAUACACGGAAAAAUGCAGUGGAUAUCAGACACAAGAUCAUUCCCACGUCCAGCUGACAGCUUAGUGCCAGAAAUGCAGUGCUACUCAAUAGACUUUGGUGGACUUCUGCAGGCGCUGCUAAACCUGAUGGAGAUGGAGUGCACAGCAGACCGGUGUUGGCAUAGCUAAGUUCUAAGCAAGGAAAUGGACUUCUUGGAAACAGUGCUGAGGUGCACCAAUUUGUGAUAAG
rnacentral:lncRNA from 1 species